UACAGAGGUCUCAAGCGUUGUUCGGAUUCAUUGGGCGUAAAGGGUGCGUAGGUGGCGCGGUAAGUCGGGUGUGAAAUUUCGGAGCUUAACUCCGAAAACUGCAUUCGAUACUGCCGUGCUUGAGGACUGGAGAGGAGACUGGAAUUUACGGUGUAGCGGUGAAAAUGCGUAGAUAUCGAUAAGGAAGACCAGUGGCGAAGGCGGGU
rnacentral:rRNA from 1 species